rnacentral:rRNA from 1 species
AUGGCCUACUUCGAUGAGAAAGCGAAGGAAGAUCCAGAUUUCUUCUACAGGAUAAGGUUGGACGAUGAGGACCAUGUCAGGAACAUGUAUUGGGUGGAUGGUGCUGCAAGGAGAGCCUACAAACAUUUCCGAGAUUGCAUUUCAUUCGACGCAACAUAUCUAACUAAUAUGUACAAGAUGCCAUGCGCUCCGUUCAUAGGAAUAAAUAACCACAAUCAGUCGUUGCAGUUCGGCUGCGGGCUCAUUCUGAACGAAGACACAGAUGGGUACGUUUGGCUGUUCAAGACCUUCUUGGAGUGCAUGGAUGGACUUGCUUCGAUGAACAUAAUAAUAGACCAGGAUUUCAGCAUGCGUGCAGGCAUAGAGGAGGUAUUUCCGUUGGUAGUGCACAGGCACUGCAGGUGGCACAUUAUAAAGAAGGCUGAAGAGACGCUAGGACCGUUCUUUGCUGACCGUCUAGAGCUCCAUAAGGCGUUCGAGCUGUGUGUGGACCACAGCUUGACGGUGGAGAAGUUUGAAAGGAGCUGGAUGGCCAUGAUUGAAAUAUAUCAAGUCCAAGACAACGAGACGCUUGCUAACAUGUGGGAGAAGCGAAUGUACUGGGUGCCGGCCUACUUCAUGCAGUGCUUCUUCCCCUUUCUGUAG